rnacentral:rRNA from 1 species
GACGAACGCUGGCGGCGUGCCUAAUACAUGCAAGUUGAGCGCUGAAGGUUGGUACUUGUACCAACUGGAUGAGCAGCGAACGGGUGAGUAACGCGUGGGGAAUCUGCCUUUGAGCGGGGGACAACAUUUGGAAACGAAUGCUAAUACCGCAUAAAAACUUUAAACACAAGUUUUAAGUUUGAAAGAUGCAAUUGCAUCACUCAAAGAUGAUCCCGCGUUGUAUUAGCUAGUUGGUGAGGUAAAGGCUCACCAAGGCGAUGAUACAUAGCCGACCUGAGAGGGUGAUCGGCCACAUUGGGACUGAGACACGGCCCAAACUCCUACGGGAGGCAGCAGUAGGGAAUCUUCGGCCAUGGACGAAAGUCUGACCGAGCAACGCCGCGUGAGUGAAGAAGGGUUUCGGAUCGUAAAACUCUGUUGGUAGAGAAGAACGUUGGUGAGAGUGGAAAGCUCAUCAAGUGACGGUAACUACCCAGAAAGGGACGGCUAACUACGUG